UGUUUCGGCUAGGGGGCCAUCCCGGCUUACCAACCCGAUGCAAACUGCGAAUACCGGAGAAUGUUAUCACGGGAGACACACGGCGGGUGCUAACGUCCGUCGUGAAGAGGGAAACAACCCAGACCGCCAGCUAAGGUCCCAAAGUCAUGGUUAAGUGGGAAACGAUGUGGGAAGGCCCAGACAGCCAGGAUGUUGGCUUAGAAGCAGCCAUCAUUUAAAGAAAGCGUAAUAGCUCACUGGUCGAGUCGGCCUGCGCGGAAGAUGUAACGGGGCUAAACCAUGCACCGAAGCUGCGGCAGCGAACGUAUCACCCAAGACAACUUUACGGAGUUGACGAUUGACGGAGCGAAGCGACGUCAAAGCGUUCAUUAAAGUCGAGUUGGCUUAGGGAUACGUUCGUUGGGUAGGGGAGCGUUCUGUAAGCCUGUGAAGGUGGCCUGUGAGGGUUGCUGGAGGUAUCAGAAGUGCGAAUGCUGACAUAAGUAACGAUAAAGCGGGUGAAAAGCCCGCUCGCCGGAAGACCAAGGGUUCCUGUCCAACGUUAAUCGGGGCAGGGUGAGUCGACCCCUAAGGCGAGGCCGAAAGGCGUAGUCGAUGGGAAACGGGUUAAUAUUCCCGUACUUGGUGUUACUGCGAAGGGGGGACGGAGAAGGCUAUGUUGGCCGGGCGACGGUUGUCCCGGUUUAAGCGUGUAGGUGUGUGUUCCAGGUAAAUCCGGUUCACUUUAACACUGAGGCGUGACGACGAGGCACUACGGUGCUGAAGCAACAAAUGCCCUGCUUCCAGGAAAAGCCUCUAAGCAUCAGGUAACAUCAAAUCGUACCCCAAACCGACACAGGUGGUCAGGUAGAGAAUACCAAGGCGCUUGAGAGAACUCGGGUGAAGGAACUAGGCAAAAUGGUGCCGUAACUUCGGGAGAAGGCACGCUGACACGUAGGUGAAGUGAUUUACUCAUGGAGCUGAAGUCAGUCGAAGAUACCAGCUGGCUGCAACUGUUUAUUAAAAACACAGCACUGUGCAAACACGAAAGUGGACGUAUACGGUGUGACGCCUGCCCGGUGCCGGAAGGUUAAUUGAUGGGGUCAGCGCAAGCGAAGCUCCUGAUCGAAGCCCCGGUAAACGGCGGCCGUAACUAUAACGGUCCUAAGGUAGCGAAAUUCCUUGUCGGGUAAGUUCCGACCUGCACGAAUGGCGUAAUGAUGGCCAGGCUGUCUCCACCCGAGACUCAGUGAAAUUGAACUCGCUGUGAAGAUGCAGUGUACCCGCGGCAAGACGGAAAGACCCCGUGAACCUUUACUAUAGCUUGACACUGAACAUUGAGCCUUGAUGUGUAGGAUAGGUGGGAGGCUUUG
rnacentral:rRNA from 1 species